rnacentral:rRNA from 1 species
AUGUCGGACUACGUCCCCUCCUCCACCCAGAUCCAGGCGCUGAGGCCUCGGUCCCUCCGCGGCGCGCUCUGCGUCACCCUCGCUCUGCCCGGGGCCCUGCUCGUCCGCUUCUCCAGGAGCCUGCUCGCCGCCGUCACGCUCACGUGGCUACCCAGGACCUACCUGCGCGUCCCGGUGGACGGGGCCGAUCAGGAGGCCAUUUCGCCCCGCCGCGUUCCGAGCCCCGUGGAGCUCGAUCCCGCGCAGGUGGCGGCGCUCACGGCCGCCCUUCGCCUCGCCAUCGUCGCCGGGGCCCUCUCGGUCCCCUCUCUCGCCCAGCGCCGGGCCGACGCGUCCGACUCCGACUCCAGCGACGACGACGACGAGGAGCGCGGCUGCUCUGAUGAUCAACACCUAUGGUAUCCACUCAUCCAGUCGCUGGGAGGAGGGGACGCCGGUCUGUUCGUCUCCGGCUCGGCUGCGUCUCUGGCUGAGCUGACUGGUGCGCCGGGAUUGUACAGACUGUCUGAUUUAAAUGAGAACCCAUUGAUCCUCACAGCAAGGGCAGAAAGCUUUUCAGGUCCUUGCGAGUUGACCGAUGAAACAACAAGGACUUGGGGCAUGAUGCUCAAAAUUACUACCAAACUUGUUUGUUUAAGUAAGCGGCAAUUACAUGAGCAGAAUCAGGAAUUAGCUGAAGAACGAUUUGCAGAGGUAGCCAAGCAAUCUUUAGAGCUGAUCCUUGAGGUUGCCUGUUCAUUCAGUGAUGCGGAAUGGUCUGAUGUCCACAUUUCGCAACAGCUGACUGUUUUUGACACACUUGUUGAUGUCCUAUUCAAUAUACAAUACUUGCCUUUCGGUGGAUCUGGUGAGGUUGCUGGCAUUGUUAAUAAGAUGGUGAAUUCUUUCAAAGGCGUAAUUCAGAGGACUUCAAAUGACAUCCGUAGCAGCAAGGAAUCUAUUAUUCAUCCAGCAACUUUUAUUCUCAUACAAGUCCUGGAAUUUUUUGGUCGUAACAGAGAGAUGGUCCAGUCAAUACUUGAAUCUGGAGAUUACAACACUGGCCCAUGCUCUGACAUGUUUGAUUGUUUGGUAUCUAAGCUCAAGGAAUGUGCAGAAGUAAUUUUCCAAGAAAAGGGACAAAGGUGCAUAUUCUUCUUGAAUAACACAAAUUAUGUUUUGCAAAAGAAUUGCCACUCAGGAUUACUCCCUCCCAGUGUAGCGAGUAAUCUAGUAUCACUGAUGGACCAGCACAUCGUGAGCUACCUUGAGGAAUAUUGGUUUCCACUUGUGAGGUAUUUGGAUGGUGAUUCUCUGAAGAAGCCACGCGGUUCUUCCUUGGAUAAAUUUACCAAAGAGUUCUUUACCAUCUGUGAUAGCCAGAUGACUUGGAAAGUUCAAACUAGCCUCAAGGAAAGACUGCGUGAACGGAUAGUGGAUUUGAUUGUUCCAAAAUAUGUAAACUUCUUGAAGGCUCUGCAGGAAAAUCCAAGUUCUUGGUUGAAGAGGGUGUGCCGAGCCAGGUCUGAGAAGCCGAUUUAUCCUGCUCCACAACUGGAAAAGGUGAUCAGGGGACUCUUUGAAAGAUAG